CACAAGCCUUUGGGAGGCAAAGAUGCAAGAAGGCAUCAGAGGAGGGAGGGAAAGAAAGAGGGACAGAGGCUAGAGUUGCCUGUGGCACCCCUGACCAUCCUUCAAGGUACCCCAAGGUGCCAUGGCACACUGGUUGUAAACCACUGCCCUAGAGUAAUGUUUUGAGUUGGAGGGUAUAGAAGGAGCCCUAAUAUAAUGUAAGCUGCCCUGGAUAGAAAUCAAAUUGCCAUCAAUUUGAGCUCCCUGGGGCUCAGACCAGGUUUCAGCCCUGCAAGAAACAGGAGGAGAACAUUUACAUCGUGCCUUUAUUUUCACAAAGGAGUAAACACAGACAGUCCCCAUGCAUAUUUGAUGAGCAGACAGGUCAGAGGAUGAGACUUGCAGGCAGACUUGAGGCACGGCACCUUUAACUUUAGAAAUUAAGUACUGAGUGCAAGCCAAGAGCUUCCCAGAAUGUAACUAUGCUAACACCCAGUUCCAGGAAGGCCCUCACAAAAAUAGCUGAUGGCUAUGCCUUGCCUUUGGUGGUGUUCGCCACCAGGAAAGGCAACUGGUAGGAGGUAUCACCGCAACCCAUCCCUAAUUACUGUUCAUUAUUCCCUCUGGCUGCUUCUGAACGUGUUGUGUGAGCUUCCGCAGACUUUGGCGGAAGUCUGGCUAACAUGUCUCAUGACCAGAAUUCAUUGUUGCUUCAAGGCCCCCAUUAAAUUAGUCUGGGCUAUUCUGCGUGCAGCCUAAUUUCAGUUUGCCACAGUGGCCUAACACACUGUAAUAUGGCAGAGCCUCAGAAAAGCACCAGAUUUAGCAGGGCACAAGGAGGUGUUUUGACAGGGCUACACUGUAUUUCCAUCUCAGUCCAAUUCUGCAUCGAGCCAGGGCUGUUCCCAGUUUCAGACACAUACAGAGGUCAUUGUGGUACCCUCCUACCCUUUCCCAUAUGUUUACUCUGCCAUUCAUUCUAAUUACAGGACUGUGCUGCAGAGGAAGUGCUCCAACGGCUGUGGAGGUAGAAGCUGCUCAUCGCCUCUGCCAAAUGCAUCAUCCUGGCACUAACCUGUUUCCCUUCUGACAAUGCCAACCAAGUGUCAACACUGCUGUUGAUUUAUAUAGCACAGAGCAUAACAGGGUUUUAUCAGAAAGAGUUUCAAUUUGGCGUUGCUGCUGGGUGCACGGGACAAAGACACAGCAAUUUCAGAAACACUCAUCAGCACGACGGCGAAGCAACAACUCCAGCAACAAGGAACUAGAUGGGCAGUCAUUUUAAACAGUACAGUAUAAUUAUUUCAGAUACUUAAAGUAAUGGAAAGCCCUCAGUUUGACUACAGCAUACUUAACGUAAUGGUUAUUUUAUUAAUAUACGGACAGUGCAAUCUGAUACAUGCCCACCCAACAGCAGGUCCCAUUGAGUUCAAUGGGGUUUACUUCCAAGUAAAGUGGGUCUACGAUUGCAGCCUUAGGAAUUGAUAUCCUGCCUUCCCACAUAAGCUUCAUGGUGGCUAACAAAACCAAUUAACAUUAUAUAUUACAAAAACAGCAAAAACAGUAUAUAAAAUCAAAUAUAAUAGUAGGCUGCAUUUUUUUUUAAAAGGGUUAAUAUUAUCAUCCAAUUUAAAUGGGGAAACCAGAUAUCAUAAAAGGUAAUCAAAUGUAAUGGAAAAACUCAAGUUUGCUGGCAGUUUUGUAACAGAAACACUAGGCAGACAAGCCUGGGAAGGGAGUACCAUCACUUGAAAAUUAUGAGCACCAUCACUUAUAAGGGUCUUCCUCCAGUAACCAACUGGUAAGCCUUAGCAUGCAGAGGUACCGAGAGAAGGGUCCCUAACACCCAACCCUGAAAAAUUCUUUGUUCAGUUAUAUGGAAUGCUGCUGGGAAGUCCAGGACAAUCCACAGGGACACCCUGUUCUUGUUGCUCUCCUAUUACAGCUCAUUCACCAGGGCAACCAAAACCAUUUCUAUCCCAAACCUGCCCCAGAAGCCAGACUGAAAUAUAUUUAGAAAAACAGUGUCAUCCUGUAGGGAAAAUUCAAUUUUUAAAGCAAAUAAUAAUUUAUUUCCUCCACUGCGCAGUAUCAAAAAGAAAUUUACCAGAGAAAUAUUACCAAAGUGUGGAAUGGAUAACAGGGCAAUAAACUAGACUGACUCUUAAAAUUGGCAGCUAGGUGCUUAUACGGGCCCUGCUUAUUCCUCUCUUGGGGGAUUCCUUCGGCAGUCCAAAAUCAACUUAAGUUGGAAUGGAUAAUUGGUUUUGGACUCCUUCCCUGAAAACCUUUCCUUGUCGAGUUCUUUGGCGAGGAAAUAUGGCCAUUUCUUUCACUGGAAACCUACUUGUAAAGGUCAUUUGUGAAACAAAAUGGAAACCGGCGUGGUAAGGACUCGAUUUUAUGGCAAUCUUAACAACAUCCAAUCAAGAUGGUUACAAGGACGGCCUGAUAGAACAGAAUUGCAAUCUUACAUUAAUAGGCCAAGAUGAAUAGACGAGCGCCCGAACCCUGAGGAGACAGAGACAGAGGUCAGUGCUUAAGGCUUUGAACAUGAAUGCCUCUCUUCCUCCCGUCCCUUUUCACAUGUGGCACCGUAACAGUAGCAGACAGAUGCUACAUAAAGGCAGACACACCUGAUUAACCAUGAAUACAACAGCUGCCGUUUCCCCACUGCCCCCUCUAUCCACUGCAAGGCUGUUUCCGUUUUGUUUUUCCCUUUCAUGAGGAAAUUAAGCCCACCAUUAAAACCCAAAGUUAGUGGGAGGGUGUCAGCGUUGCGGGUCUUUGUUUCCUUCCUUGCAAAUGUGUAAUAGCUACCUUCUGAUUUUCCCUUUCAUCUGAGGCGUGGGCGAGGCCUACAGCAGGCAGAGCAGUCAACACCCAACCUCAAGCACAGGAAGAAAGGAGAGCAAGGGGCAAAAGGCUGGCGAUCAGUCCAGGAAGGGAGAUAAAGGACAUUUACACAAAGCAGCAGCACCUUAUUCCCCCACUGCCCUUUAAAAUAUUCACUCCAUGAGCCAGUGGCUUCUAGUUCUUCCAUAUGAUGCUCCUGCAGAGCUCCAAGUACAGUGGUACCUCGGGUUACAUACACUUCAGGUUACAUACGCUUCAGGUUACAGACUCCGCUAACCCAGAAAUAGUGCUUCAGGUUAAGAACUUUGCUUCAGGAUGAGAACAGAAAUUGUGCUCCGGCGGUGCAGCAGCAGCAGGAGGCCCCAUUAGCUAAAGUGGUCUUCAGGUUAAGAACAGACCUCCGGAACGAAUUAAGUACUUAACCCGAGGUACCACUGUAUAUGGAUAGUACUUUGUAAACAGCAACAGCAAGUGUGUCCCUUGCUAACAGCCUUCUAAAACAUACUGCAAAAUAUCCCCUCCCAUUGUUAAUUAGAUGUUACAAAUCACUUUGGUAGGCAGGUACAAACAACAACAAUCACAUCAUCAGCUCUGACAGCUUAACUAGCUAGCAAUAGCUCUUGCCCAGUACCAGAUAGGAAGGUCUUAGGAAAAUGCUGGCUGCUCUAAGGAGAGGUGGUAGAUACAAGAAGUGAUGCUGGGUUUCAACAAGGUUAAUUGUAUUUUGCAGUUCUUGCUACAGUUACCGUAUAGAUAUGCCAUUCUUUGCUAACCAUUCAUGCGUUUGAGCACCUUCUGCUCUCUUACCCUUUAGACUUGUAGCUGUAUACAAUGGGGAAUCGCCUCUUCUCUUUUUAGCCAGUCUAGGGCAGUUUCUUUCUUUGAAACUAAAGUGCAUUGCACUCUUCACUUUCCCCUUCAAAUGGGAGUAAAUAGGCUGUGGCUUGCAAAUUUGUUUUAAAGGGCGAUAAGCAUUUUACAGAGGGAAGUCCCUACACCAUUCUGCGGUCACGGUCACGGGUGACAUACUAUUCUAAGGAGCUGUUUCACAGAUUACCAUUUCCCUACACAAAGAUAAUCUCCAUGAGCGAAAAUGUGCUUAGCAUAAAUGUGUGAAGAGAGGUGUGUUUCCUGUGCUGUUUGAGCAAAUGGGUCAGGCAGCCAUUGCCUUCAGUGGAUGCCUGGUCCAUGUUCUUACAGCAUGAAAACCAAUUAUGCCACACUUCACACAUUAUGGUAAACACAUUUCCCUACAUAUGUUUCCUACAUUAUCUUUAUACAGAGAAAUAGUAUUGUGUGAAACACCCCUAAGGCUAACGCUGUGCAGAACUUUGAAAUGGCAACAUUACCUGCCCCUCCAAAGCUUUAUAAUCAAACAUCAAUGCACAUGCAAAAAAUAAAAUACAUCUUAUUUCAGGCGUAGCUUUAGUUCUUUAUUUAUUUAUAUCUGUUACUCUUGGAAAUAGCUCCAACAAAAUGAGAUAAGAGGCUGAUUCUGUAUCUAAAUAAGAACCUCCCUUCUCAAGAUCAAAGGUCCAGCAGCAAUAUGUGAUUUCCAAUUUUAUCCUAGGCACAUUUGUUUCCAAAGAAGUCCCUUGUCUUAAAUGGUGCUUACUCCCAGAUUAGCAUGCACAGGAUAUUUUCUGCGUUAAGCAUAGGAGUGCAUAGAACUGCAGCCUUCAUUUAUGAAAUGAGGAAUACACAUAGGCUUUAAAAUGUGGAUAAAGAUUUGUACACAAACUGAUUUAAAAACCUAGAAGCAUAAGGGUAAGCACUGACAACUCAGAGGAUGAACAGUGACAGGGAACAGUUUGGGGGGUGGGGGUGAUGCUGAGUAAACAGAGGAACAGUCACAAACAGGCAACUUGACAGCCGAAAUUGUUUGGAUUUUAAAUGAGUUCAGUGAACAAAAAAGGGGAGAGAUCAUUGAACUGUUGCCCAUAAAUGACAAGCAGUGCAGUAGGAGAAAGAAGACAUCCGUUCUGUUUGGCAGCAAUAACUUUUAGGAGACUCUCUGAGAAGGACAUAGUGCUGGCAAGCAACCGAUACUGCUUGGACUAUGACAUAUAUCAAAGAAAGAGGGGAAAGGAUGUCUGGAAAAGCGCCUGACCUAGGAAGAAAGAUAGAGAUACAAGAAGCAGCGGAGAAGUCAGUAAGGCCAGAGAAGAUGAGAAGUUAAGCCCGUGGGCAACAGCAGAAAGUGCUAAUGCAGCAUUUAAUGAUGAGUUUGUGAUUGCAAAGUGCUUUUGUUAUAUCAACUCAACAGGCAAGACAGGAAGGUCAGGGUAUCACAGAGGAAAAUGUCAAAGCAAAUCUCUAGGAGAGCCAAAUCCACAGAGUGGGUAUGCCCAGAUUGGGGGUGAUGGAGAAUUCAAUUAGAAAUUAAAAAUGGGAGAAUAAGUUGCUACACUCUGCAUACUGGUCAGAAAUCAGGCCAGUGGACAUGAACACUGUUUGCUGUCAUCUUCUUUUGUUCACAAAUGUAACAUAAACAAUUACAUUACUUUCCCUGUUGUUUUUUAUGUUCCCCCUGUACUGAAAUUACUUGUGGAAUUAAUAGCAUCAUUAAUUGCAUUAAUUUAGGUCGUAGCAAGUAGUGAGACGAAUAGCGUAGGUUUUAGCAGAAGCCAAAAUGUAGCAGAAUGGAAACAUUUCUGAUUGCGACUAACACAGGAAGGGAUGGAAAUUGCUGUCUCCUUAACGUCUUUAGACCAGAUGCCACAAAAUUAUCAUUGUCUAUUGUUGAGGGAGGAAUGCAAAGGGCCCUUGAUGAAAUACACAAGACCCACCCCUAGAUUUCCCCCAGUUUUAGCCAAAUUAUGACUGUCUUGGAGCCUUCUAAAAAUAGUGGCUAAGGGAAGCAUUAUAAAAGGGGGCAAAACGUCCCCCCAUUCAAGUUGUUGUUGUUGUUAAUUAUGUUUAUAUCCUGCCUUUCUUCUAAGGAGCUCAAAGGGGGGUACAUAGUUCUCCCCCUCCCCCUUUUAUGUGCACGACAACCCUGUGAAGUAGGCCAGGCUAAAAGAAAGUGACAGACUCCAUUUCACCCAGUGACCUUCAUGGCUGGUCUACCAAGGUCCAAGUCCAACACUCUAACUGCUACACAACACUGCCUCUAUCUGAAUCUAGCAUCUAACUAUCACAAACGCUUGAUAGGAAAAAAAAUAAAAUGUGUUUCCUGCUCCUCUAGCAUAGUAUCCCUUCUGAUUUAUAGCACUAGUAUCUCAUAACAUUUUGUGCUGCUAAUUUUAAGAGAAUUGGGGAAGCAGAGGCUGACAUUGUAGUAUGAAGUCGCAGGUGCUGAUGAGUUAGCUCCUUUGCAAUGGUUUCUUGGCCAUGAAGAGAGUUCUGUAAUUUGAGUGGAGUGUGACAUUUGAAACCCCAUUCAUAGGGGCAAAGGACAGAAGAAGACAGAGUAUGCAGAAACCAAUGCACUAGCAGCAGAACACCGCAAAGCAACAUUCACCCCACAAUUUACUUUGAUGUUUCUAUUUCCAAAAAGAUUCCAUACAUCGAACACUUCAUUUACCAAGAAGUGACCUUAAAGGUGCGUCUCCAGCUCUUAGACUUUUAUUUUACACUAUCCCAUGCUGUUAGCAAAGAUCCUAUGAAGGGUCUUUGUCCCAGCUGCAUAGGCCAGCUCCUUUUCCUUUUUAAGCCAAAGCAAUGAUAUUAAAGGACUAUCAACAUCCUGUUGUUCUGCUAAAAGCCAAUAUGCUUUUGCUGUGUUACCAAAUCAUUCUGUAAUUGCAACCGAUUGAAAUGCCAUAUAAAAGAGAUGAUUGUAGUACUGGAUAUUCAUCUCUCUUUUUCAAUUAUUUGGUUUACUACCCAAUGUGCAAUUCUUGUUCUCCUUCCCCUUUUUGGAAAUAGUGACAUUUGGAAACAAUUUGGUUUUACAAGGAUAAUUCACUUUCGUAGGAAUUCGUGAAACGUUACAGUGUAAGGAAAUCUGCAAUAGUAUAUGAUGAUAUAGCCCAUUAUUCUAUUGCUACUCCUAGAUAAGACAUUUUAUUUUAUACACUACAAAGCAAUCUGAAUUAAAUAGGCCUUAACUUUCUUUUAAAAUAUUGCUUUAAAAUGUAUUGUAAAGCUCAUUUUUUUUCAAAAAAAACACCCCACCACCUUUCUAGUCUUUUUAAAAACCAUUUUAUCACAUUUUAGUUUUUCCUCCAUUUAUAGUUCUGUUGUUUUCCUUUCCUUUUUUGCAGUUAUUGAAGUAAUGGCAAAAUAGUGCUGAAAUUAAAAGAGCCCUUUAGCACACAUUUUAACAUGAUUUUCAAAACUGAGUGGGGGGAAAUGGUUUAAAAAUGAUGUGCUAUAAUAAGUCUUAGUUUCCCACAGAUACAUUUGUACUCAGAGUAGUUUACAGAAAAUAAACAAUCUCACUACAAUCAUCAUUGUACAUAAAGAAAAUGGCGAGCGGUAUCCAACAAAAUUAUUCUGUUAGUGCCAUGACUUUUGUCUGUGCAAUGGGACUACCUCUCCCUACAGGCCAUCUUAGCCCCCCAAAUCUGCUUGUUAAAAUCGUCUACACAUAUGAAACAUUGUGUGUAUGUAUAUAUGUAGAUAUGUGUAUAUGUGUGUGUGUGUGUGUGUGUGUGUGUGUGUGUAUCCUUGUUACCUGAUCCUCAGGUGAUAAGGAGGGCAAAAUAUGUUUCAUCACUUCAAUCACCUCUCUUUGCACUUACAUGCUUCUCAGAAACAGAAAACAUUAUCUCAUCCUUACAAAGCAAGAUCAAGUAAUACAUACAAGACAAGUAUCAUUUGCUUUUCAUUCUGGCACUUGUUUACAUAAUAUAACUCCAUUUGGAAUAUGAGUCCAUUUAGAAUAUGUUUAUUCUUUGCCCACAAACAAUUCUAAUAGUUAAGGAUAUCCGCGACACUUCUCAAAAGCCCUUAUCCCUAGUGUUUAAAAGACAUUUAUAGCCAGUUCUUCCUACCAACUCAUUAACACCGAAGUGAGCGUUCCAUUUCCUAACAAAUGUCACUCCCAGAGCACCUUGGGAGAAUCUCCUCCUUUCUUUUCUAAGCUUAAACACUCUCCAUCACUGAAAGUGGUCACCUUUUCCCCUCCCUCUUUUUAACAGGCACUCUUAACCUUCUUAGGAGAUUAAGUAUCCCAAGAUGCCGUGCAUGAAGAGAGCACUGGAGAACAGCAAGAUGCUACUGUAUUGUAUUAAUGUCACUUAAUGGUAACUGUCAGUGAUAGUGAUGGAAUAAAUAUGGAAAAGGAAAUUGCUGUAAUUGAUUGACAGUCUGCAAUCCUCCACAUGGAGUUUAAUGAGAGGGAGUUGUAAAAAGCUGCCUCUAUGCAGGCUAUUAAUGCAAAUCAUGUGCACCAGGCCUACUUUCUGAAUUAUGCAAUGCUAUGCGAAUGUCUGUGUCUAAACCAUUUCAGCAACCUUGUCUUUAUUCAGAAAAAAUAGCCUACUGACAUGCUGAUUACUGUAUUACAGGAGUAUCAGAAGUUUGGAGCAAAAAGUGAGUUCCAAGAGCCAUGUUAUAAAUUUUGCUCAGAACAAGAGAAGUGUUUUAACACUGCCCUUAUGUUCACCACGCAGUUCUACAAGGUACGUUUGUCAGAGCUGACAGGGAUUUACGGGAUGAGGGUGGUGAACCUUUGAUAUGUAGUAAGAAUGAUCAAGAAUUGCUUUUGUUAGAAAACUAGUUAAACCGCCAUCUUGCUUUGGUGAAGUAACUAAAUGUAAUCUUUGUAAGAAUAUCCUGCAUUUCCAGGGAGAAUAUCAUAGAAACUAGAAUUAAAGUUUGGAAAUUAUGAGCCUAAAUGACUUAAUCAUCACUAUUAUAAUAAUUUUAAUAGCACUUUAGAACAUUUUGCAGCAUUUCACAUACAUACAUUCAUCAUCAUUUCUUAUCAAUCACCAAAAAUUUUCUAAUUUCUAGAGGUGUAGCCAUUGGAAGAAAAAGAACAAAGAAUUUCGUGGCACUUUGAAGACUAACACAUUUAUUAAUACACAAGCUUUCUGGGUUACAGUCCACUUCAUCAGAUUGGUUGGCUGUGAUAUCACUGCUGUGAUAUUCUUCCUGGGUGGCAAGGAGUGAAGCUUCUGAGUGGGCUACCUCUCCAUGAACUGACUGGUAGCAGAAGCGAUACUAGUGGUUCCCAAAGUGGGCUGUGAUUGAUUGAUUGAUUGAUUGAUUGAUAGAUAUUGAUAUAUAUAUAUAUAUAUAUGGUCCAUAUGAGCUGCACCAACGGACUGCAUUGUUGCAAAGAGCAGUAUGUAGGAUUGCCCUUGAGGUUGAUCCAGAAGCUGCAGUUGAUGCAGAAUGCAGCAGCUAGACUACUAACCGGAACAGCCUUCCACCAGCAUAUAACACAUCUAUUGAGAAAGUUGGACUGGUUGCCAGUAUGCUACCAGGCCCCGUUUAAGGCUUGAAGACUUGCGUACAAGGCCCUAAACAACUCAGGACUAAGUUACGUGAAAGAUCCCCUGCAUCCCUGUUUAGCCACUGCAUGAUGGUACCUAGGUAAUCUGAGGCUCACUCCAUUACAGUUCAAUGAAGAGCCUUCGGUGUCACAGCACCAGUGGCUGACAGUAUGGUAGGGCUGUAGCACUCACCUGACCUCCCAACAACUGAGUUGCUGCUGCUUAUCGGGAACGAGAGUUGGACAGGUGAGGUGACCAAACGUUUUGGCAGAGCCAAUCCAGCACACUUGAUGGUAUGUUUGCACAGCGCUAACCUCCUUGUCGCUUCAUGUCUCCAACUCUCUCUCCUGGUAUGCAGCAGCUGCUGUGCUGCUCAGAGGUCAGUUAAGUACUACUGCCUAUUGCACCGUCUGCUACUUCACAACACCAAAAAUAUGGAAUUGCCUCCCUGUACAAAUUAGGCACCAGACUUGCUGGUUUUUCAGACCAUGGUGGAAAGAUUCUUCUGUAGACAAGCUUCCUCAGAGGGGUGAGAACUCAGCCAUACUGAAUCAUCAGGUUGAAAAUAUUGUUUGCCUUUUUACAUUGCUUAUUGUUGAACGAAAAGCUUUUUAUGCAUAGUUUUGAAUUUCUUUCUCAGAUACAAAGCAGUUCACAAAUUGUGUAAAUAGGUAAGAAAAGAUGUGGCAGAGAUUGGAGGGAAGGCACAAUUACUCUUAUAUAAGAUAAGGGCAAUAGAUGUAAAGCACGGCGAUUGUAAAUCAUGUGCUGUUUUAGAAUACAGUUAACAGAGUUUUGUAAUGAGGGAUUGCUGUAUUUAACAUUCCAGUCAAAACAUAAUCAGGAGGAGGAGGAGAACUUAUGUUUCUGGUGUCAGAUUCAAUUAGGAGGGACAGAAGCCACAGAUGAGAAAUAAAAAGCAUCUGUAUAUGGAAGUAUGUUAAGCUUUGAAGCUGGUGUGGAAAUAUUGGCUUAGUUCUUAUUUUCCCCCAAGUGUUAUGUCGUUUUAUGUAUGAUGUUCACACUUACAAGGAUUCCUUGUUAAAUAAUUCCUCUGCACAAACAACAGGGAAUAAACUCCGGCCUUUGAUAUCAGCAGAUUAGGAUCUUGCAAGCUAUCAUCGAGAUCAUAUAGCUUUAGAUGAGCGGAAGGCAUUCUCAGCCAAGGGGAGGAACAACAUAAAUGCAAAGUACAGAAAAUAAGCUAUAUGAUCAACAAACAGAAACUCGUGACCACAGGAGAUCUUCAGUUUGCAAUGAACACACUGCAAAUCACACAUAAAUUUCCCAUUUAGGAAAGAGAAAAUAGCUUGUUUUGUGACCAUUACAAAGGGUGGUUUCAUCUAUUUAAGCCAUUAAAUAAGCUUAUUCGUUAUGGCUAUUUUACACUGUUUAAAUUCGUGCAAUCUUUAAUGGGGCCACCUGGAAGGUUAUUUUGGUGGAAAGGCAAGAUAAAAAUCAUUUACAGUGCAAUCCUACACAUUGGAUUGUGCUAAAUGUUUUAACCAGAAGCAGGCAGCUACCAGCAGGAGCAGAAAGAACCCAGCUGACCUCUCCUCUGUAAGUAGCAGUGACUCAGCUGCUGGGAGUUGAUAUGAGUGUUGUCCCCCACCCCACCACCCACUACUGGUUUCAGUUGUACUUCAAAGUAAUGUUUAUUGUAUUUCAAAUUGUUGUGAUACACCCUGAGGUCAUCUGUAAUAAAAGGCAGAAAUAAAUAUAACCAUAAUGUCUUACUCAGAAGUAAAUCCCACUUGGUUCAGCUGCAACACUCUACAGCAGCUGCAGCUUCUGCAACAAUUUCAAGGGAAGCACCACAUACUGCAUGUUGCAGAAGUCAAAUUGUGAGGCUACCAACACAUGCAUCACAGUGACUAAACUAUCCCUCUCCACGAAAGGGCACAGUUUGCGUAGUAACCUAAACUACUUGCCAUUAACUUUGAAAAUUGUUCAAAUGCAAACAAUUGUGGGUGGAUGCUCAGUCACAAACAUGAGGUACACGCCUCCCCAAACUCCUGGAAUCUCUUGGGCAGCAAAUAUCUGUACUCACACCUGACUACCAUUAUUAAGAGGCAAGUAGCAAACGCCCACAAUGUUUGAGAAGCUAAAAUCCAGAGUCAAUGUGUUUGAUGUCAUAGAAAACCCUGAGAUUUAAGAUACGCAGUCAUUUUUCUCUCUGAUUCAUAACCAUCUUUCCCCUCUGACUCAUAACAAUCUGGUACGUUGUUGGUUCAGAUUUACUCCUGCCACCCUCUUGACUUCAGGAACAGGAACCAGUGCCAGCAGUUUCUCUCUCUCAUGUUUCAUUACACGCUCAAACUUCUUUUUAACUUACGCCUUUCUGAGCAUCUACUAUGAAAAUAAUGGUGUCUUUAAAAAGAAAUGUAGGAGGACCAUAACAAAAGGGGGGAAAUUUGGUGGUGCCAAAUGAGCCACUGCCACUGAAAACACCACGAGAUAUUGCUCUUGUAUAAUAUUUAUUUGAAUCCAUAACGAUGAGGAAAGACUUCCUUCGUACCCUCACAUGGUAUUGUAAAAUAAUUAGGUAGCUUGGAGAUGGGAAAUCCUGCAGUCUUGUCUGUUCAGACAAUCAAGCUGAUUGUAUGAUGGCAACAGCAGAACAGAUCCAACAGCCACAAAUCUCAUUCAGGUCCUAUAUUUGUGGCCUGUGGUGAAGGAACAGGAUGCUGUUUUUACUUCACUGGUUACGUAUCCGCUUCCAGAUUGCACACUGCAUAAGGAAGAUGACUGGCUCUGCCCCUUACAUAACUGAAUGCAGGAAUGGAACCCACACAUACAGCUGCACAUGUGGGGUUGGCCUAUGCAAUCAGGGACCUGUUUGCUGUCAGGAUUCCUGGUAACCUGGGCAGAGGCCUCAAUGAGUAUAAGCAUUCAGUGUAGGUGAGGGGCUGAGCAGCCCCCAUUCCCCAGACACACAUUAAUUCAGGACACUACCUGAAUAGGGGGACGCGGGUGGCGCUGUGGGUUAAACCACAGGGCCUAGGACUUGCCAAUCAGAAGGUCGGUGGUUCAAAUCCCUGAGACGGGGUGAGCUCCCGUUGCUCAGUCCCUGCUCCUGCCAAGCUAGCAGUUCAAAAGCACGUCAAAGUGCAAGUAGAUAAAUAGGUACCGCUCCAUGGUAGAAUCCGUGACCAGGGAGAAGAGUCGAUGGAGGAAGAUUGGAAGAAAUUCAAAGACUAUCUUCAGAAACACUGUAAAAUUAAGGAAUGUUAAAGUGAUGUUGGAUUGAAAACAAGUGGUUUCCAGCUGAACAGGUUAAAGCUAAGGAUAGAUUAAGAUUAAAGAUUAAGAUUAAAGAUGUUUAAAGAAAUGGAAAUUUGAUAAUAAAAGGGAAAAAUUUAAAGGUAUAUGACAUUAAGAACAAGGAUUAUGUUUAAAAAAGUUAUAUAGUUUAAUAUUUCAUUAAAUUAAAGAUUGGGUUUAAAAAAGUGGAAAAGAAACUGCUGGACAAAUAAUCUAGAUUGGAAUACAAAAGAGGGAGGUAUGAGGAAGUCCAGAAAAUAAGUAAUUUAAAAUUGGGAAUAUAAAAGAGAGUUUGUUUUAAAAAAAAAAAAAAAUAGGUACCGCUCCGGUGGGAAGGUAAACAGCAUUUCCGUGUGCUGCUCUGGUUCGCCAGAAGCGGCUUAGUCAUGCUGGUCACAUGACCCGGAAGCUGUACACCGGCUCCCUUGGCCAAUAAAGUGAGAUGAGCGCCGCAACCCCAGAGUCGGCCACGACUGGACCUAAUGGUCAGGGGUCCCUUUACCUUUACCUGAAUAGGGCAGUUGGAUGGUUAGAGGGAUAGUUUACAAGGGGACAACUAGAGGAAAACGGGAGUUAGCAUGAUUGGAAGGCACAGCAGUUUGAAAGAUGAGUGGAAGCUCAAGUCAAAAGGGGGCAAGGAUGACCUUCCUCACAUGCUGUCAACCUCAGUGCUAGGCAUAGAACAUGGCAGGCAAAGCACCAGCCAAGUGUGUUUUGAAGUCAGAAGCAGGAAAAGCCAGACUAGAUUAGCGAGCAGGGGAGGCAGACAGAAAGGCAGGAAUGGCAAGCUUUGCGGCAGCAGACUGAGCAAUCUGCUGGUGGUAGUCAGGGCAAUCUGUCAGCAGCAGUGGCAAAAUUGGAGACUGCCACCAAAGCAGCAGCAAAAUCAGCAGUGGGUGCAACAGUGGGAGGUUACAUGGAGGACAGAUGAGGGCCACAUGUGGCUUGCGGAUUGUCCAUGUAGAAGCCAACCCAAGCUUUCAGAAGUGAGACAGGGCUAUGCAUGUGUGUGUGUGUGUGUGUGUGUGUGAAUGAAUGAAUGAACAAAUAAAUAAAUAAGUAAAUAAAUAAGUGAGCCAAUCAGUGCCUAUACGUUCUCUAAGCUAUUAUGCAUGUUGGGGGACAAAAACACCUUUAAACAGACACCCAGAGAGCAUUUUCUAAGCCUUGGGAGACCAGCCCCUUUCCUACCACCAACAAUGCUACUCUGUCACUGACAUAAAUAAAAAUGUCACAAGGCAGUUUCGUGAAGCCACACCAUGAAUGCCGGGCAUUGAGCUGCAGCAGCUGCAUGGAGACUUUGCGGUUUCUCCUCCGAGGCUUUCGCUGCUACUGCUGGCUCCCACUCAAGUCACUACAUCCAUGCCCUGCCUCCUUGCUGCUGCUAAAUUUAAUCACAUCCUUUUCCAUAUCAUGUCUUCACUUCCUUGCGCUCCAAGAUGGGUUAAAAUCUGACCCUAGACUAAACUAGCUAAACCAAAGUGUAGUAGUAGUAGCAGUAGUAAUGUAUCUAUAAAGAGCCUAGCUUCACUAAAGCAGGGCGGUGAGAGCCACAGAUGUUUUGGACUACAACUCCCAUCACCCCUGACUUUCAACCAUGCUGGCUGGGGCUGAUGGGAGUUGGAGUCCUGCAACAUCUGGAGGACCACUACUGAAUCACAGUUCAGUUCAUAGUGUGAAAUGCAUGUGAUCAGGCUGGUGGGUACGCAACUGGCUUGGACCUGCUGAGAGCCACCAGCUCACCUGAUCAUAUAUAACUCCGCAAUUCCCCAACUAUGGGUUGCAACCCACAAGUGGGCUGUGAAGUCUGUGCAAGUGGAUCGUGUGCUUACAAGUAAUUUUCAUUUUUACCAUUUCUUUUUAAAUAACAAAUCGCACAUUUUGCUCUCUCUCUCUUUUUUAAGGAACUCGAUUUCCCUCCAUCCCAGGGGAGCUGAAACUGGGGCAAUUCAAAGAGGCUGUUAAGGGGGCAAAUAAGAGACAACUCAGCAUCAAUUCCAAAGCCAAGAAAAACAAGCAGCAAGAAAAUGGGCUGAACCUGCAAAGAGGAAGUGUUUAAUUUAAAGGCAUAGGAACCCUGUAUGGCCUUAAUGAUACUUUGUUGGUGACAUUCGAUAGGGAAGUACAACAACAGCAUUUGAUUACAUCCCUCCCCCACUACCACCCCCAAAAACCCAACGACAAAUUAGAUCUGGUGGAAAUGUGCAAGGACAGCAGAGGGAACACAGGAUUGCAAUGAAUUUAGAAGCUUUGUAAAAAGUAAAUGAAAAAAAUAUGGCAAUUCCUAAGAAAAGGGCUCAUGCUUGCCUCUACUCUGGUCUAUUUUGCUUUCCUUGAUGUUUCUUGAACAAAAUUAUUAGUGUGUUGCCUACUGGACCUUGGAAGAGCUACGGCUACAGUACAGGCAGGACUAUAUGCCAACUAGCAAUAAUUGAACUUGG